rnacentral:snoRNA from 1 species
CCUCCUUUUCUUGGCGGGGGCCGGGUGUAGGGCCCACUCUCCUUUAUGGAUGGAGGCAGAGGGAAGGGGCUCUGGCCCCUCAGUGUCGCGUCUUCAGUGGCGGGGGCUUCCCUUCCUCCGGUUCUAUCCUCAAGCACCAGGGCACCA